UUUGAUCCUGGGCUCAGGACGAACGCUGCCGGCGUGCCUAAUACAUGCAAGUCGAGCGGACAGAUGGGAGCUUGCUCCCCUGAUGUUAGCGGCGGACGGGUGAGUAACACGUGGGUAACCUGCCUGUAAGACUGGGAUAACUCCGGGAAACCGGGGCUAAUACCGGAUGGUUGUUUGAACCGCAUGGUUCAAACAUAAAAGGUGGCUUCGGCUACCACUUACAGAUGGACCCGCGGCGCAUUAGCUAGUUGGUGAGGUAACGGCUCACCAAGGCAACGAUGCGUAGCCGACCUGAGAGGGUGAUCGGCCACACUGGGACUGAGACACGGCCCAGACUCCUACGGGAGGCAGCAGUAGGGAAUCUUCCGCAAUGGACGAAAGUCUGACGGAGCAACGCCGCGUGAGUGAUGAAGGUUUCUCGGAUCGUAAAGCUCUGUUGUUCACGGGAAGAACAAGUACCGUUCGAAUAGGGCGGUACCUUGACGGUACCUAACCAGAAAGCCACGGCUAACUACG
rnacentral:rRNA from 2 species